GAUUGUUCAGAAUAAAGAACAACUGCUAGCAAAACUGGAGUUCAACAAUAAGUCAAUUCAGCAGAAACUACACGCUGAGAAUGGCAAGCUGUCCAGUAAACUGGAAGAGACACACAACGUGAUUGGUUGCUUAAGAUAUGAGAAUGAAACACUGAAGCGGUCAAUGAAGGGUCUGACUACCAGGAACAACCUUUUGAACAAGAGAGUGGCAAUGUUGGAUGAGUACUUUGAAAAGCAGCGAUCUAGAAAG